rnacentral:antisense_RNA from 1 species
UGUAAUGAAGAUAUGGUCACACAAUGGUCACAAAUCUAAAUUAAUGGCUAAAUUAACUUAUUUUGAAUGAAUGAAGAAUUGUGUAAGUUGUUGAAUCUGAAGAGUAAUAGUUGGUACAACCGAGUGGACUCGAACCACCGACCCCUACCA